rnacentral:rRNA from 1 species
AUGGAGUACCAGCCCAUCAUCAGUGCGCUGGACAUCCGCACCGAACCCAUCACAGUUGAUCUGCUCUUCUCCCUCGUAGCCAAUUUUGAUCAGCGGGUGGAGAUGUUCCAUGCCAAUGGUAACGGUGGCUUCAAGUCAUCGGCGAACGCCGCUACCAGAGGCCAGCAGGGAGGAAACAAGGGCGGCUACAACCGAAACCAGAAAGGUGGUGGUGGCGGACCUCGCAGCGGCGGCUACAACGGUGCCCGUGGCAGCGGCUACCAAGGCCGUGGCGGCAGCGGCUACACCGGCGCUGGUGGCAGUGGCUACCACAACGGUGGUUCUGGUGGUGGCUACGGCGGCAGCUACCAACAGAAUCAUGGUGGCGGCUACCAAGGGGGUGGUGGUGGUGGCGGCUAUAAUCACCCCAACUCCGGCGGCGGCAACAACCAGCGGCGACCCAACAACAGGGGGCGCAAUUCAGGGGUAUGA